rnacentral:misc_RNA from 1 species
GAAAUGCGAUAAGUAAUGUGAAUUGCAGAAUACUGUGAGUCAUCAAAUGCUUGAACGCAAAUGGCGCCUGUCGAUAGAAAGACAGGCACAUCUGUUUGAGUGUCGUUUUUUCCAAAAUCAAAAAAGGAAAAGCCCUUUUUUGGAUAGUGAGUGUUCCAUCGGGAGAUGGAUCACUUGAAAUGGAAUGAAUGUUUUGAGAGUAAUGGAAAAAAUGUGGUAAUUGAUAGGGGGUGUUUUUAUACACACACUUGAAUAUUACCAUAUUUUUUUUCAGCCCUCACUCCCCAGGAGUAAGCAUUUCCAAAAAAAUCGACCUCAAAUCAGGUGAGAUUACCCGCUGAACUUAA